CAGAUUUGCUACUACUCCCUGUUAGGAGUAUAAAUAAUUGUGCAUCCAAGUGAGUGAGGAGUGAGGACCAAGCAGCAAACUAUAGUAGUGAGGGUGAGGGAUAUGUGGAGCCUGCUCUUCUCUCAUGUGCCACUGAUAGCGCGCGGCUAGGUUAUUACCAAUAUCUCUCUGCUGGGAUAGUGGGAUCUGAAUAACUUUAUAGCCUCAGCUCGAUCAAGAGCAGAUCUCUGAUCCCAAGCUGCCCAACAUCAUGGUGAACGAUGAUCCUCUGGAUGAUGAAAACCCUAGAUCUCACACUGCCAAUAGCAUCCAUGAUAACAAGAGGGAACAAAUGUUGAGCCGGUUUCCAUCCCAUGAUCAGUGCAUGAAAACAACGGUUUUUGACUUCGUCGUCCAGACCGACAAAACCAGCUCCGAAUCUUCACGUCGACCCCGAUUUCAAGGACAAGCUAGCGUGGUCGCUCCCGCAUAGCCUAUGAACCGGUGCUAUCCCGAUUGAGCUUUCCAUACCUCUCCUCUGCAGCCUUGGUUGGCUCAUACAUCCGUUUUUUCUGGUUUCUCAUGCCAGAACUAGCAUUCUUGACCUUGUAAGGCCUCUUCUUGACCUUGUAAGGCCCUGCCCCUGCACUUGGCUCCUCCUCACACCUCUUGCUCGCUUCUUUCUUUCCGUGCGGGGAAUCAGUCUAACCGUUACCGUGUUCGCCGGGGUCCCGCAACCACCUAUUUCCUGCUCCCUUCUAUCCCUCCUGAGCUAGCUUAUCCCAUGCAUGUAACCACACAUGUUUGAUUUAUAUAAAGUGUUGGGGUAGGUUAAUCUACUUUAUUUGUAAAAAGAGUGGUAAUCAUGUUUGAUUUAUACUCC